rnacentral:misc_RNA from 1 species
UGAUGUGGGCGUAGGACUCGCCGACGGACCAAAGUUUCGUGUAAAUAUUAAUUUUCGGAGAAUAAAGCCGGUCGUCAAAGCGCUUCAUUGUUAGCCUUACUCACGUAUGAGGGACUACUUGAAAGGAAUCUUAGCCGCUGGGUUUCCGAAGGAAGCCGGAAGUGUACUUUGAAUUUCGCGGAUGCCGUGUGGUCAACUACCUCGACAAUUAUUUCAAGCACCGUUCUACCAAGACUUCGCUCGGUAUAUCGAUCGAUCGAUGAACAACGAGCAACUUUCAUCCGUUGUUUCAAUUUUG